ensembl:lncRNA
CUCAUCUAUCUUUAAUAUCAGCUCAUUAAACCACUGGUGAUGUUUAUCCUGGUCCAAGCCGACCUGCUCCAUCACUCCUUCCUGGUUCCUGCAUCCAGCUGGUCCUCCAGUAGGGGUUAGUAGUAAUAAGUGGUACAUCAGCCGCUCCCACUCUGGAAUCCAAAUCAGUGUGAGUGUGAUCAUGUGAGUAGUGUGUGUGUAUUGUGUGUGUGUAGUGUGUGUAGUGUGUGUAUUGUGUGUGUGUAGUGUGUGUGUAGUGUGUGUAGUGUAUGUGUAGUUUGUGUAGUGUGUCUGUAGUGUAUGUGUAGUGUGUGUGUAGUGUGUAUGUAUUAUGUGUAGUGUGUGUAGUGUAUGUAUUGUGUGUAGUGUGUGUAGUGUGUAUGUAGUGUGUGUAGUGUGUGUAGUGUAUAUGUAUUGUGUGUAGUGUGCGUAGUGUAUAUGUAUUGUGUGUAGUGUGUGUGUAGUGUGUGUAGUGUGUAUGUAGUCUGUGCGUAGUGUGUAUGUAGUGUGUAUGUAGUUUGUGUAGUGUGUGUAGUGUGUGUGGUGUGUAUGUAGUGUGUGUAGUGUGUGUGUAGUGCAUGUGUAGUUUGUGUAGUGUGUGUAGUGUGUGUAGUGUGUAUGUAGUGUGUGUAGUGUGUUUGUGUAGUGUGUGUAGUGUGUGUGUAGUGUGUGUGUAGUGUGUGUAGUGUGUAUGUAGUGUGUGUAGUGUGUGUGUAGUGUGUAUGUAGUGUGUGUAGUGUGUGUGUGUAGUGUGCAUGUUAGUGUGUGUAGUGUGUGUGUAGUGUGUGUAGUGUGUGUGUAGUGUGUAUGUAGUGUGUGUAGGUGUGUGUAGUGUGUAUGUAGUGUGUGUAGUGUGUAUGUAGUGUGUGUAGUGUGUGUGUAGUGUGUAUGUAGUGUGUAUGUAGUGUGUGUGUAGUGUGUAUGUAGUGUGUUGUAGUGUGUAUGUAGUGUGUGUAGUGUGUGUAGUGUGUGUGUAGUGUGCAUGUAGUGUGUGUAGUGUGUGUGUAGUGUGUGUAGUGUAUAUGUAUUGUGUGUAGUGUGUUUAAUGUAUGUGUAGCUUGUGUAGUGUGUGUAGUGUGUAUGUAGUGUGUGUGUAGUUUGUGUAGUGUGUGUAGUGUGUGUGUAGUGUGUAUGUAGUGUGUGUGUAGUGUGUAUGUAGUGUGUGUAGUGUGUGUGUAGUGUGUAUGUAGUGUGUGUGUAGUGUGUGUGUAGUUUG